UACGAAGGGGGCUAGCGUUGCUCGGAAUCACUGGGCGUAAAGCGCACGUAGGCGGAUUGCUAAGUCAGGGGGGAAAUCCUGGAGCUCAACUCCAGAACUGCCUUUGAUACUGGCAACCUUGAGUCCGGGAGAGGUGAGUGGAACUGCGAGUGUAGAGGUGAAAUUCGUAGAUAUUCGCAAGAACACCAGUGGCGAAGGCGGCUCACUGGCCCGGUACUGACGCUGAGGUGCGAAAGCGUGGUGAGCAAACAGG
rnacentral:rRNA from 1 species